rnacentral:misc_RNA from 1 species
GAAAUGCGAAAGUUAAUGCGAAUUGCAGAAUUCAGUGAAUCAUCGAGUCUUUGAACGCACAUUGCGCCCGCCGGUAUUCCGGCGGGCAUGCCUGUCCGAGCGUCUUUUCACAAUGAAAUCGAGCCCCCGGGUUUGGUGUUGGGGAUCGGGCUGUACUCCAGCCCGGCCCCGAAAUCUAGUGGCGGUCUCGCUGCAGCCUCCAUUGCGUAGUAGCUAACACCUCGCAACUGGAACGCGGCGCGGCCAAGCCGUUAAACCCCCAACUUCUGAAUGUUGACCUCGGAUCAGGUAGGAAUACCCGCUGAACUUAAGC